rnacentral:rRNA from 1 species
CCUACGGGAGGCAGCAGUGAGGAAUAUUGGUCAAUGGGCGCGAGCCUGAACCAGCCAAGUAGCGUGAAGGAUGACUGCCCUACGGGUUGUAAACUUCUUUUAUAAAGGAAUAAAGUGAGGCACGUGUGCCUUUUUGUAUGUACUUUAUGAAUAAGGAUCGGCUAACUCCGUGCCAGCAGCCGCGGUAAUACGGAGGAUCCGAGCGUUAUCCGGAUUUAUUGGGUUUAAAGGGUGCGUAGGCGGAAGGUUAAGUCAGCGGUCAACUGUCGGUGCUCAACACCGGCCUGCCGUUGAAACUGGUAGUCUUGAGUGAGCGAGAAGUAGGCGGAAUGCGUGGUGUAGCGGUGAAAUGCAUAGAUAUCACGCAGAACUCCGAUUGCGAAGGCAGCAUACCGGCGCUCAACUGACGCUGAGGCACGAAAGCGUGGGGAUCGAACAGGAUUAGAUACCCCUGUAGUC